GCUGGGCGUGUUGGCAGAUGCCUGUAAUCCCAGCUACUUGGGAGGCUGAGGCAGAAGAAUCACUUGAGCUUGGGAGGUGGAGGUUGCAGUGAGCCGAGAUCGUGCCACUAAACUCCAACCUGGGCCACAGAGUGAGACUCAGCCUCAA
ensembl:misc_RNA Metazoa_SRP Metazoan signal recognition particle RNA